UACGGAGGGUGCGAGCGUUGUCCGGAAUCACUGGGCGUAAAGGGCGCGUAGGCGGUCCGUUAAGUUGCUGGUGAAAUCCCGGGGCUCAACUUCGGGGCGGCCGGCAAGACUGGCGGGCUCGAGCACGGUAGAGGCAGAUGGAAUUCCCGGUGUAGCGGUGGAAUGCGUAGAUAUCGGGAAGAAUACCGGUGGCGAAGGCGUUCUGCUGGGCCGUUGCUGACGCUGAGGCGCGACAGCGUGGGGAGCAAACAGG
rnacentral:rRNA from 1 species